CGGUUCGCGAGGCGUUCCGCGGGCCCUCUCUCCUCCUCCCCCCUCCCCCCCCCCUCGUUGGCGGGGCUAAGCUCGGAGCAGGAAAAGGAGCCGUGCUGGGAGGAUGCAGUGAAUAGAUGGGAGUGAACUCGGACGAGAACUAGGUCACGGGAGUACGCGCGUCGCCCCCCGGCCCCCCGCCCGACCCCCGGAGGGUUGAGACGGGGUUGUCGCUCCGGCCAAGGGUUCAACUUCUCCACGUGAACGCAGCGACCGAAGACUUUCAACGUGAAUGAAGGAGAUCACAAACGCUCAAUCUCCCUUGCAUUCAGAGUUUGCCACAACACAAUCCAACUCUCUGAGCAAGCAUCAUUCUUCAUCACCGAUUUCAACUCUGACCCUUCGGCGCCUGUUUUGAUUCAAUCCUUACACAUCUCAUCGAUCCCAACAGUUUCGACAACUCACUUCUGCAUCUUCCUGGAUUUCAUUAAAAAACCUCAGAGAUGGGGAUCUAAUGGGUGGUAA
rnacentral:lncRNA from 1 species